AUGUCCCAUGGCUAUUUGGAUACCCGCGUGAAGAAUACCACGGGAGGCACCUCGCCAGUCCAUUUGGCCCAGAGUUGUUUCCAGGUGGAAACUUUCGGACACACCUUCACCCUGGACCUGGAGUUAAACCACAACCUCCUGUCCUCAGACUAUGUGGAGCGGCACUUUCACCAAGACGGCAAACCCUCACAGUCUAUGGUAGUGUGUGUGUGUGUGUGUGUGUGUGUGUGUGUGUGUGUGUGUUUGUAUGUUAUAAUUAGGGCCCUGUAUUUUGCGCAAUCAUUUGAUAUGCCUGGAUUUUAACCGUUAUU
rnacentral:lncRNA from 1 species